GACAGAGGGUGCAAACGUUGUUCGGAAUUACUGGGCGUAAAGCGCGUGUAGGCGGCUUGGCAAGUCGGGUGUGAAAGCCCCGGGCUCAACCUGGGAAGUGCACUCGAAACUGCUUCGCUUGAGUACUGGAGAGGGUAGUGGAAUUCUCGGUGUAGAGGUGAAAUUCGUAGAUAUCGAGAGGAACAUCGGUGGCGAAGGCGGCUACCUGGACAGUUACUGACGCUGAGACGCGAAAGCGUGGGGAGCAAACAGG
rnacentral:rRNA from 2 species